rnacentral:rRNA from 1 species
CUACGGGCGGCUCCAGUAGGGAAUCUUCGGCAAUGGACGGAAGUCUGACCGAGCAACGCCGCGUGAGUGAAGAAGGUUUUCGGAUCGUAAAGCUCUGUUGUAAGAGAAGAACGAGUGUGAGAGUGGAAAGUUCACACUGUGACGGUAUCUUACCAGAAAGGGACGGCUAUCUACGUGCCAGCAGCCGCGGUAAUACGUAGGUCCCGAGCGUUGUCCGGAUUUAUUGGGCGUAAAGCGAGCGCAGGCGGUUAGAUAAGUCUGAAGUUAAAGGCUGUGGCUUAACCAUAGUACGCUUUGGAAACUGCUUAACUUGAGUGCAGAAGGGGAGAGUGGAAUUCCAUGUGUAGCGGUGAAAUGCGUAGAUAUAUGGAGGAACACCGGUGGCGAAAGCGGCUCUCUGGUCUGUAACUGACGCUGAGGCUCGAAAGCGUGGGGAGCAAACAGGAUUAGAUACCCCUGUAGUC